GACGAACGCUGGCGGCGUGCCUAAUACAUGCAAGUCGAGCGAAUGGAUGGGAGCUUGCUCCCUGACGUUAGCGGCGGACGGGUGAGUAACACGUGGGCAACCUGCCCUGCAGAUGGGGAUAACUCCGGGAAACCGGGGCUAAUACCGAAUAAUCAGUUCUCCCGCAUGGGAGAACUCUGAAAGACGGUUUCGGCUGUCACUGCAGGAUGGGCCCGCGGCGCAUUAGCUAGUUGGUGGGUAAUGGCCUACCAAGGCGACGAUGCGUAGCCGACCUGAGAGGGUGAUCGGCCACACUGGGACUGAGACACGGCCCAGACUCCUACGGGAGGCAG
rnacentral:rRNA from 1 species